GACGACGCUGGCGGCGUGCUUAAUACAUGCAAGUCGAGCGAGGUUACUGUUUCGGAUCCCUUCGGGGUGAAGAAGCUUUAACCUAGCGGCGGACGGGUGAGUAACGCGUGGGUAACCUACCCCAAAGUCCGGGAUAACAGCGGGAAACCGCUGCUAAUACCGGAUGCCUUUACCUUGGGGCAUCUUGAGGUAAAGAAAGGCAACGCUUUGGGAUGGGCCCGCGUCCCAUUAGCUAGUUGGUGAGGUAACGGCUCACCAAGGCGACGAUGGGUAGCCGGCCUGAGAGGGUGGACGGCCACACUGGGACUGAGACACGGCCCAGACUCCUACGGGAGGCAGCAGUAGGGAAUAUUGCGCAAUGGACGGAAGUCUGACGCAGCGACGCCGCGUGAGCGAUGAAGGUCUUCGGAUCGUAAAGCUCUGUCCUUGGGGAAGAAGGUCUUCGGACUUGACGGUACCCAAGAAGAAAGCCCCGGCUAACUACGUG
rnacentral:rRNA from 1 species